rnacentral:rRNA from 1 species
GCUAGGGGGCCAUCCCGGCUUACCAACCCGAUGCAAACUGCGAAUACCGGAGAAUGUUAUCACGGGAGACACACGGCGGGUGCUAACGUCCGUCGUGAAGAGGGAAACAACCCAGACCGCCAGCUAAGGUCCCAAAGUCAUGGUUAAGUGGGAAACGAUGUGGGAAGGCCCAGACAGCCAGGAUGUUGGCUUAGAAGCAGCCAUCAUUUAAAGAAAGCGUAAUAGCUCACUGGUCGAGUCGGCCUGCGCGGAAGAUGUAACGGGGCUAAACCAUGCACCGAAGCUGCGGCAGCGACRCUAKGYGUUGUUGGGUAGGGGAGCGUUCUGUAAGCCUGYGAAGGUGGCCUGUGAGGGUUGCUGGAGGUAUCAGAAGUGCGAAUGCUGACAUAAGUAACGAUAAAGCGGGUGAAAAGCCCGCUCGCCGGAAGACCAAGGGUUCCUGUCCAACGUUAAUCGGGGCAGGGUGAGUCGACCCCUAAGGCGAGGCCGAAAGGCGUAGUCGAUGGGAAACGGGUUAAUAUUCCCGUACUUGGUGUUACUGCGAAGGGGGGACGGAGAAGGCUAUGUUGGCCGGGCGACGGUUGUCCCGGUUUAAGCGUGUAGGUGUGUGUUCCAGGUAAAUCCGGUUCACUUUAACACUGAGGCGUGAYGACGAGGCACUACGGUGCUGAAGCAACAAAUGCCCUGCUUCCAGGAAAAGCCUCUAAGCAUCAGGUAACAYSAAAUCGUACCCCAAACCGACACAGGUGGUCAGGUAGAGAAUACCAAGGCGCUUGAGAGAACUCGGGUGAAGGAACUAGGCAAAAUGGUGCCGUAACUUCGGGAGAAGGCACGCUGACAYGUAGGUGAAGUGAUUUACUCAYGGAGCUGAAGUCAGUCGAAGAUACCAGCUGGCUGCAACUGUUUAUUAAAAACACAGCACUGUGCAAACACGAAAGUGGACGUAUACGGUGUGACGCCUGCCCGGUGCCGGAAGGUUAAUUGAUGGGGUCAGCGCAAGCGAAGCUCCUGAUCGAAGCCCCGGUAAACGGCGGCCGUAACUAUAACGGUCCUAAGGUAGCGAAAUUCCUUGUCGGGUAAGUUCCGACCUGCACGAAUGGCGUAAUGAUGGCCAGGCUGUCUCCACCCGAGACUCAGUGAAAUUGAACUCGCUGUGAAGAUGCAGUGUACCCGCGGCAAGACGGAAAGACCCCGUGAACCUUUACUAUAGCUUGACACUGAACAUUGAGCCUUGAUGUGUAGGAUAGGUGGGAGGCUUUGAAGUGUGGACGCCAGUCUGCAUGGAGCCGRCCUUGAAAUACCACCCUUURAUGUUUGAUGUUCUAACGUGGACCCGUKAYCCGGGUUGCGGACAGUGUCUGGUGGGUAGUUUGACUGGGGCGGUCUCCUCCUAAAGAGUAACGGAGGAGCACGAAGGUUGGCUAAUCCUGGUCGGACAUCAGGAGGUUAGUGCAAUGGCAUAAGCCAGCUUGACUGCGAGCGUGACGGCGCGAGCAGGUGCGAAAGCAGGUCAUAGUGAUCCGGUGGUUCUGAAUGGAAGGGCCAUCGCUCAACGGAUAAAAGGUACUCCGGGGAUAACAGGCUGAUACCGCCCAAGAGUUCAUAUCGACGGCGGUGUUUGGCACCUCGAUGUCGGCUCAUCACAUCCUGGGGCUGAAGUAGGUCCCAAGGGUAUGGCUGUUCGCCAUUUAAAGUGGUACGCGAGCUGGGUUUAGAACGUCGUGAGACAGUUCGGUCCCUAUCUGCCGUGGGCGCUGGAGAACUGAGGGGGGCUGCUCCUAGUACGAGAGGACCGGAGUGGACGCAUCACUGGUGUUCGGGUUGUCAUGCCAAUGGCACUGCCCGGUAGCUAAAUGCGGAAGAGAUAAGUGCUGAAAGCAUCUAAGCACGAAACUUGCCCCGAGAUGAGUUCUCCCUGAGACUUUAGGUCUCCUGAAGGAACGUUGAAGACGACGACGUUGAUAGGCCGGGUGUGUAAGCGCAGCGAUGCGUUGAGCUAACCGGUACUAAUGAACCGUGAGGCUUAACCUUACAACGCCGAAG